rnacentral:piRNA from 1 species
UGCCAAGCUGGCUUUGUUUUAUGACUGG